GCAAGCCCAUUUACAGUGUGCUAUUUGCGAAAGUUAACCUGUGAUUAGUCGUCUUCGUCAGACAGCCCGGAGUGACUGCUGACGUCCAACAGUGUUACACAAACAUUUCCCCACUGCUCACCAUUCACACAGACUGAACGUGUCACUGGGGGGAAGCAUUGGUAAAGUGUGGGCCAACAUUUUGAGCCACAAGUGCUUAAAAAAAGCCAUAUCCCUGAAAUCUCUCUCAAACUAAGCAGGAGAUGGCACCACUUGGUGGCCAGGAAAUACAGCCAGGGAUAGAGAAAAUCCUGUUUUAUCAUGAGAAGAAGCACAACUAGAUUAUGUUAAAAGAAGACAAAAUGGCUAAGACCACAAGAUGAAAGAUGGUGGCAAAAGGCAGUUUUCCAUGCAGACUAUCCAAAUAAACGCUAUCAAAUUUCAAAUCUAA